AGAGUUUGAUCAUGGCUCAGAUUGAACGCUGGCGGCAUGCCUUACACAUGCAAGUCGAACGGCAGCACGGGGGCAACCCUGGUGGCGAGUGGCGAACGGGUGAGUAAUACAUCGGAACGUGUCCUGUAGUGGGGGAUAGCCCGGCGAAAGCCGGAUUAAUACCGCAUACGCUCUACGGAGGAAAGGGGGGGAUCUUAGGACCUCCCGCUACAGGGGCGGCCGAUGGCAGAUUAGCUAGUUGGUGGGGUAAAGGCCUACCAAGGCGACGAUCUGUAGCUGGUCUGAGAGGACGACCAGCCACACUGGGACUGAGACACGGCCCAGACUCCUACGGGAGGCAGCAGUGGGGAAUUUUGGACAAUGGGGGAAACCCUGAUCCAGCAAUGCCGCGUGUGUGAAGAAGGCCUUCGGGUUGUAAAGCACUUUUGUCCGGAAAGAAAACCUCCGACUUAAUACCUUGGGGGGAUGACGGUACCGGAAGAAUAAGCACCGGCUAACUACGUGCCAGCAGCCGCGGUAAUACGUAGGGUGCAAGCGUUAAUCGGAAUUACUGGGCGUAAAGCGUGCGCAGGCGGUCCGCUAAGACAGAUGUGAAAUCCCCGGGCUUAACCUGGGAACUGCAUUUGUGACUGGCGGGCUAGAGUAUGGCAGAGGGGGGUAGAAUUCCACGUGUAGCAGUGAAAUGCGUAGAGAUGUGGAGGAAUACCGAUGGCGAAGGCAGCCCCCUGGGCCAAUACUGACGCUCAUGCACGAAAGCGUGGGGAGCAAACAGGAUUAGAUACCCUGGUAGUCCACGCCCUAAACGAUGUCAACUAGUUGUCGGGUCUUCAUUGACUUGGUAACGUAGCUAACGCGUGAAGUUGACCGCCUGGGGAGUACGGUCGCAAGAUUAAAACUCAAAGGAAUUGACGG
rnacentral:rRNA from 1 species